AGUAGAACGAGCUCCGCAAGGAGCGAGUUGCGAACGGCUGAGUAAUGGAUAGGAAUCUCCCCAAUGGUGUGGAAUACCUCAUCGAACGAUGAGCUAAUACCGCAUAAGAUACGUGCUUUGCACUUAGUACAUAGUACAGAGUACUAAGUACUUAGAAUUUCUGAAAAGUUUUUCUAUGUACUUUGUACUAAUUUCUGUGUACUACAUGCAGGGCAUGUAUGAAAGCGCUUAACUGCGCGCCGAUGGAUGAGCCUAUCUCCCAUCAGGCUGUUGGUAGGGUAAUGGCCUACCAAACCUAUGACGGGUACCCGCCCUGAGAGGGGAAACGGGCAGAAAGGGACUGAGACACGGCCCUUACAUCUACGGAUGGCAGCAACAGGGAAUCGUACGCAAUGGACGAAAGUCUGACGUCGCAAUGCCGCGUGGAGGAUGAAGGCCUUCGGGUCGUAAACUCCUUUUAUAUGGAAUGAGAGUUCUGUAAGAAUAAGUAACUGCUAACUCUGUGCCAGCCGCCGCGGUAAUUCA
rnacentral:rRNA from 1 species